rnacentral:rRNA from 1 species
GGCACCUACGGGACGCAGCAGUGGGGAAUAUUGCACAAUGGGCGAAAGCCUGAUGCAGCGACGCCGCGUGAGUGAAGAAGUAUUUCGGUAUGUAAAGCUCUAUCAGCAGGGAAGAAAAUGACGGUACCUGACUAAGAAGCCCCGGCUAACUACGUGCCAGCAGCCGCGGUAAUACGUAGGGGGCAAGCGUUAUCCGGAUUUACUGGGUGUAAAGGGAGCGUAGACGGCGUGCCAAGUCUGGUGUGAAAGGCCGGG